UGUUGAUCAAAAACAUUGUCACCUGCUACACUACUAUAGGUGAUAAAUCCUGCCCAAUGAAUAUUUAAUGGCCGCGGUAUCCUGACCGUGCAAAGGUAGCGAAAUCAUUUGUCUAUUAAUUGUAGACCUGUAUGAAUGGACCAACGCAGAUAAAACUUUCCUCUCCGUAAACAUAAAACCUAAUCUUCGGGUGAAGAAGCCCAAAUAUAAUCGUAAGACAAGAAGACCCUAUAGAACUUUACUUUAAGAGAUAAUCUUCAUAUCUCAACUGUUUGGUUGGGGCGACCUGGGAAACUCAAAACCUCCCAUCAACCAUAGAAAUUCAUUUCACACAAUCGAUCCUAAAUCUAGAUCAUAGAAACAAGCUACCUUAGGGAUAACAGGCUAAUUUUCCUAGAGAGCCCAUAUUAACAGGAAAGUUUGGCACCUCGAUGUUGGCUUAGGACCUCUCUAUGAUGCAGCAGUCAUAGUUAGAUGGUUUGUUCAACCAUUAAUAUCCUACGUGAUCUGAGUUCAA
rnacentral:rRNA from 1 species